AAAGGAAUAUAAAUAAACAAGUGACUCUGUUGAUUUGGUCUCUGCAAAUUCUCUAGGGACUAGGUUCCGCUUCCUCUUGAUGAGAACUCGCUUCAAAUUCCUCUUCAUCAGAAGUUCCACUUGUGCUUGUCUUAUCAUCCAAUUUCCAAAUUUGGGUAGCAAAGUUGAGAGUAAGGUUGUUGGGUUUGGUCUUGUCGGGAUUUGCAUAUACUGGACACAACCCACAACAUAAUACCACAUUGGACUUUGAGAGGAACUCAAAUGAGACGGUUGUAUGGUGGUUAUCAUCAGGAAACCUAACAUUCCCGCAUGGACUAAAUCCAAGCAUGACAUGAUCUGUUUUAGUUAUCUGAAAACUAUCCCAAACACGAGCGACGAACAUGUUUUCUUUCAGAGAGAGUGCUAAUUUCAAAGGUGUAUUGACAGUGGACAUCAAAUAAGUAAUGUGAACUUUUAGAUCCAAGAACAGCACCAAGAGCAAAUCCCAUCAAGUUUUGACGAAAAUGCUGAGGCAGUUGAAGAGUUAUUUCGGAUCCUGAACUUUGAUUGCUGGACCACUCCGCAAUUUUGCUCCAGGGUAAGAGUAUACAGCAUUCCUGUAAAAUCAAAUUCAUGAUUUCAGAUGUGAUGAAGAGGGAUAGACUGAGAAAAGAGAGAGAAUUGCAUACUAUUUCCAAUUCAGUAAAAUCGUCUCAAUGAUGCAAUUGCCAUAUGCUUAAUCCUUAGUUGUGAAUCUGCCAAAUUCUUGUUGUUUGCUUCUUCAUCUAGUUUCAAGCAAUUAGUAAACCGGAACUCAAUGGACGAUCUCUCUCGCGUCCAUAAUUUAUCUUCAUUUUCAUGGGAGAAUUUGGAUAGCUUUUUGAGUAAGGAAGCAUCUAGAUCUUCCACAGAUGACGUAAUAUCUGGCAAAGAUUUUAGCCGCUUGCAAUUACUUGCAUCUAAUCUUCUUCAGAUGUAAUGGGAGCUCUGGUAUUGACUGAAGCAUAUUGCAAUUCCUCAAGUAAGGAUAUCUCAACCGUGAAAAUUGCUUGAUACUUGCAGGUAAACUCUCAAGGUUAUUUUCACAUAGAUCUAAUGUUUCCAAUGAGUAUAUACAGCCAAUCUCUUGUGGAAUAGCUAUUAAAACACAUCACUUAAAUUUAGCAAUCCCAAAGGAGAUAAAAAUGAUAAUAACAAUGCAGGCAAUGACACCAAACCUAUGCAUCCUUUGAACCAAAGUUUUUUAAAUUGUUUGAAUCUGCAACAGAGGAUAGUAGUUGACUAAUGGCUGAUCCAUGUGAACCAAUGUACUCAAAAGAUUUUAAAUUGCCAUUGAUAUUUGGCAAAUUAUCUAGUUCAGAACAACUCCCUAAGCCCAGCACUUCAAGCUCUUCUAGAUUUUCAAAUGAAGACGGCAGCUACUCUGUAAUUGUAGUCCUGCCUAAAUUGAUUUGAUUUAAUGUUUUAUUUUCUCCAUGCUUUCUGGGAAGCUCUCAAGGUUUAAGCACUCGUAAAGAGAAAGCCAAAUCAGAGAUUUCAAUUUACAAAAAUUCUAGUUGAAACCCUCUUCAGCCUUGAACAACUAUCCAAACUGAACACUUGAAGAUUAGUUAGGCACUCUAUUGAUGAGGAAACUUCUUCUAUUGCAGUUUAGUGUAAGUCCAGAUCUGUUAUAUUCCCAGAAAUCUGUGGAAACUCUGUGAAAUUAAUGCAAGAUGAGAAAUCCAUAGCUGUAGGAGAAACAAAAUGUAGGUUGCUUGGGAAAGACCUAAGACUUUUGCAGCCCCUGAAACACAACCUACUAAGAUGGUUGAAAUUCUGGAUGGAUGAGGAAAUGUAAGAAUAUCCUGUACAAUUCAAAAUAUUUGUUCUCUCAAGAUUUGGGGCUUCUGAUAGGUCUGGCAUCCUAAGGAGAUAUUGGAAAUGGCGGAGAUCAACAGAUUUUAACACGAAAGCUUUCUAUAACAAAAAAUAAACAAAGACCACUAAACUAGUAUCAAUGAAUUACAUAAUUAAUUAUGUGUUGUAUUAAGAAAGAAAAAUUUAAUGUUCUAGUAUUAGUACACCUACCUUUUUUCCUUCCCAAAUUUGCUCAACUUUACUGUAAGGCAAACUGAGCUCAAUAAGAUUCUCUGGUUCAAAAUCAUAAGGCAGUGUUUUCAAAGGAUAUUCGUGUCAAUGGAGAUAUCUCAAUUCUUCAGGAAGAUAUUCUAGACCUUGAUCAAGAUGCACUUUAGUCAACAUCAUUAUGCUUGGGCAUAUAGAAUUUAAGCAAUCUAAGAUUGGACAUAUUUGCAAAGGUUUGAGGACUUAGAUGUAUAUUGUUUAUUUUUGACAAAUCAAGGAGUAUGCCUUCAAUUUUAUUGGUACCCUUCCAAACAAAAGUAAAGAAUGAUAAGCAUAUAAAAUCUACAAAAACUUUUGAAAAAUUGAUUAAAAGCUUCCUAAUUGAAGAUAAAAUGUGAAUUUGUUAAUUUUUUUUAAUUUAUUCAACAUUUGAACUCACUAGCGAUCAGCCUCUUCCUUUCUCCUUGAUUUAUAGGCUUUUUCAUUUCUCUUUUAUCUAAAAGUUCAGAAGAUAAACGUUUAAAAAAUUCAUAAACCGAAGUACAUGAGAUGCUCUAUUUAAUCUACUUUUUCGGUGAUUGCAAAUGAUGCUCUCAUUUAAAAGUGUCUGUAGGAGCCAAAAAUGUUUAAUUGCCUAAAUAACUAGCCUAGGCUUUUUAGUUUGAAAGAUAUGUUUUUCUAUUACUAAGAAUCUGAGAUGCUCCCGAGUUUUAAAAGAAAUGAUAUCAUACUGAAUCACUAUAAAAAUUAAAUGAGAAAAUGUUUUGGUUGUUUCGUCCAAAAAAGUAACAUUGACUGAGGAUGUCUUUGGUAAUAACAAAUUUACUGAAAACAUGUGUAUGAGAGGAAUUUGAUUGUGCAUCUAUUGUUAACAUUUAAAACUCAAAUAGAUAGAUUCUCACCUUAUUUUUCUUUAAUACAUGAUAGACGUCCUUGUGAUCCCACAACCUAUUACAUUUGCUGAUAGAGUUUUGGCGAACAAUGGUCUGACCCAUUUCUUGCAAUAAAUCAUGCAUUUGCAGCUCAUUAUAGAAUAUUGUAAUGAGUGACUUAUCAACAAGAGCUCUCGAAUCAAACAGAGGUAUAAACUAUAGCAUAUACACACAAAUCUCAACUGCAUUAGAAGGUAGAGUUUUCUUUUUCACAUGAAUUGGAGUUAAAAGGUUUGAAUUUCUGAUUGCAUUGUCAUAAAUCUUGAAUAUCUCAAUUUGUCCAGACUUUUGGUUUUCUAUUUCUACUGACUAGUAUACUAGAUUCAUUGGAUGCAUUGAAUCAAGAACUAACAAGACAACUGGAAAUCAGAAUCAAAGACAUACAGCAAAAACAAAACAGAGGAUUUACUUGGUUCAAUACGAACUGACAUUCGCAGGGGCAGCAUAUCAGAGACGGCCUUAUUUCAACCUGGAAAGCAUCAUGAUCUUCACUCAAGAUUACUGUGUGAAGAUCAUGAUGCUCCGUCAAGGAAUUUGAAUCUAGAAAGAACUCUCAAAAUGGCCAAGAAAAUCUGGAUGAGAAUUACUGUGUUGCCCCCUCUAACCACCAGCUUAAUUAUACAAAGUUAAAAGAGGAUUUUGCUGAGCUGCCAAAAUGACAUGUUCACACACCAAGGAACAGAAGACAAAGCCUUCAAUAGAUUGCUUGACGCAAAAAAUCUGUCUCGAUUUUCUGCUCUUCAUACUUAUGUGAAGCUAUUGAAGCUCAUCCGUGCCGCUAACGGCUCUCAUAGUGUAUAAAUACACACCCAACAUGCUGACAAGCCACCAAAAACUACCAGAUUCUAGGCCUUAGGAGCGAGCAAUAACAGAAUGCCUCGGUGGUUAUACAUUUGAAGCUGGGCACUGACCAAGAAAAUGUAUUCAAAUUAGUGUAUUUUCUAAAUGUUUGUAGUUUGACACUAUUAGUUAAUUAAGGACAGUAAAUAAAAAGAUAAUGCACAAACAUCAAAACCUAAAAUUAGUUAUAAUGCCGGGACCUUGAUGUAUAAAUUGCAAAAGAACAUCAUUAAUAUACUUGCGCUGAAAAUUGCAUUAACCAAACAGAACAUUACACCUCAAUGCUUAUAUAUGACGUAAAAGGGUGUCUAGCCCGAAGGAUUAUUUUUUGCCUACUCUUACUAAGGAAAACAACAAUGGAGGAUUAAAACAUGAGAUUCAAAAGAAAAAUCCGAAUUAAUUAAAACCACAACUUAUUACAUUCAGUUUUAGCCAAAAAAAAAAAUUCUUUAAUGCAAAUAAAUAAAUCCAAAAUAAGAAAGCAAAUUAAUAAUGAAAUAUACAUUAAAUGAAUAGGGAGGUUCAUUAAAGCAAGGGCUUGAAAUGAUGAAAAUCUUAAAUUUUCAAACAAUGUAAUUCACUAAAUAACAUCAAAACUUCAUUUCUGUAAUCAAAAUUUGUGUGAAUGAAUGGAAGAAAUAUGAAUUUGUACAGCACAAUUUUUGAAAAGUGUAAGAUUUUCUCUGUUUUUUUUCCCUUAAGAGAGAGAGGUUAUUAUGAAUAAUAAUAAACAGGAUAAAGAAAUAGAAAUCAAUUGGAGCAUUGGACUUACUGAAAAAAAAGGAAUAUAAAUAAACAAGUGACUCUGUUGAUUUGGUCUCUGCAAAUUCUCUAGGGACUAGGUUCCGCUUCCUCUUGAUGAGAACUCGCUUCAAAUUCCUCUUCAUCAGAAGUUCCACUUGUGCUUGUCUUAUCAUCCAAUUUCCAAAUUUGGGUAGCAAAGUUGAGAGUAAGGUUGUUGGGUUUGGUCUUGUCGGGAUUUGCAUAUACUGGACACAACCCACAACAUAAUACCACAUUGGACUUUGAGAGGAACUCAAAUGAGACGGUUGUAUGGUGGUUAUCAUCAGGAAACCUAACAUUCCCGCAUGGACUAAAU
rnacentral:lncRNA from 1 species